CCAAACUUCUCUUCACACACACACCAACAAAUCGAAUAGGGGAACAAGAAUCAGAGACGGGGGAGUAUGGCAGAUGAUUAUAGGAUCAGACUCCACAAUCCAACAACACUUUGUUCUCAUAUCAAUAAGGUUAUCUCCGCAAGUAAGGUCGGAGUAAGAAUUCAAGAUAAGAAAACUAAGCGAUCAAGGUUGAGCAGCGAAGUGGUGGAGGAAGUGCUAUUGAGACAAGACAUUUAAUUCAG